AGUUGUGGGAGGAAGCGAAUGGAAGCGGGCGGAAGCCUUGGCCAAUGGCAAAGUGCGGACACAGAGAGGUUCCGGUGUGAGCACUUCCGCGGGGAGUUGAAAAGAGCCGGGCGGGAGAUCGUGUUCUCCGAGCGUUUUCUAUUGCGGAGAUGGUGCAACAGAUGAUCCUGAAUCAAAAACAAAAUGAAAUCAUGAUGAUCACCACAGCCACCAUUUCACCCCCUAAGGAAAACCAUGUCAGUGGACUACAUCUAGAGUUCUAGACCAGGGGCUAGCAAACUAUGGCCAAUGAGUCAAGUCUGGCCCACCACUUGUUUUUGCUACAGGAGAAGAAAGAGACUUACAGAUGCGGUAAGACCUAUCUUUAUAUUUCACAAUCAUUUCAGUGGACUCAUAGUCUUUAUUCUUUGAAUAGUCUCCAGUCAAGUGAAGGGUUGGUGGAAUCCCAGCACAGUGAUUGAUGGGUGGAAUCAUUCAAAUUUUGAUGGGGUCCUUUUUUGGGGUCUUCUAUGUCAGGGGUCCCCAACCCCAGGGGGUUGGGGUUGAAGCCUUUUAGGAACCAGGCUGCACAGCAGGAGGUGAGCGGCGUGAGCGAGGCGUCAUCUGUAUUUACAGCUGCUUCCCAUUGCUCGUAUUACUGCCUGAGCUCUGCUUCCUGUCAGAUCAGUGGCAGCAUUAGGUUCUUACAGGAGCAUGAACCCUACUGUGAACUGCACAUGCAAGGGAUCUAGGUUGCUCCUUAUGAGAAUCUAAUGUCUGAUGAUCUGUCAUUGUCUCUCAUCACACCCAGACGGGACCAUCUAUUUGCAGGAAAACAAGCUCAGGGCUCCCACUGACUCUACAUUAUGGCAUCAAGGAAAGAUUGUAUGAGGACAGAGCAAGAAGGUGGCCAUGUGCAAGCCAGGAAAAGAGCCCUCACCAGAAAUUGAACGCUGCUGAACUUUGAUCUUAGACUCUCC